rnacentral:antisense_RNA from 1 species
CUUGACCGAACCGAUCCACAGUGGAUCGUCCGGGUCGCGUUCCGCGCCGUAGGUCGAGAGCAGCGCGUGCACCUC